GGAGGCAGCUGCGCAGGAGAGGCCGCCCUUCUGGAGUGGGGUCUCCUAGACCACACAGUCAAGUACACAACCUUGGCCCCGCCCCUGCAAGCCCCCGCCCAUUCCCUGGCCACACCCACACGGUGCCCAGCCUUGGUCUCCAGUGAUGAGCUGGGAAGUCUCUUCUCUAGCACUGGGUUCGUGGCAGUGGUGGGUGGCGAGCAGGCUGGGGAAGGGUCUUUGGAGAAGAGGCUCUGGAGUUGAGCUCACCUCUCUCUCCGGCUCCCGCUCCCAGCCCCUCUGGGCCGGGAGAACGAUGAAGAUGGAGAACUAGGACAGAACUGUCCCUGGAACAGAGGCAACGACUGGCCAAAGGUCACCAGAGACACUUCCCCAGCCCAAUGUCACAGUCAACAACUCAGCCCCAGGAGCAUGUGGAAUCCAUCAGCCUGCACAGCUUGAACCCAAAGAGCUCUGUGGCCAUCCAGUGGUACAUCCGGGGCCAGAAGCUCUUCACUGGGGGCCACAGGGAGCUGUCCUCUGACCACAGGAUACUGUAUGGAACAUCACCAGGAAUGACUCGGGCUUCUACCAGUGUGAGAGCUGCAACUCAGCUACCAGCAGCAUCAGCAACCCUAUUCUCAUCAAAGUCAUUUCCCAAGAAUCCUGUGGAGUUCACCUUUGAAAUAUUCUUUCAGAGGAAAAAUACUCUCUAAAAUGCAUCUAGGUAAUGCAUGAGACAGAGUGCUCAGGGCUGGUGCACUGGGAUGACCCUGAGGGAUGGGAUGAGGAGGGAGGUGGGAGGGAGGGUCAGGAUGGGGAACACAGGUACACCCAUGGCUAAUUCAUGUGAAUGUAUGGCAAAAACCACCACAAUAUUGUAAAGUAAUUAGCCUCCAAUUAAAAUAAAUCUUUUUUAAAAAGAAAGAAAAAAA
rnacentral:lncRNA from 1 species